rnacentral:miRNA from 12 species
UGACAGAAGAGAGAGAGCACA